GGUCACGGGGAUCUCUGGUAAGAGCCAGAGCCUGCUGCACCGUUAGAGAGAAAAUCACUCGGCUCCCCCAGUCUUUUGCGUCCAAUUUAUGUCCAAUUUGCAGACUUUCAACAUUGCAACCUCACAGUUCAUAAAAUCAAACUCAGCCUGGGGUACUUUUUUUCUCCGAACUUGAACAAAAACCUCAGAAUUCUCAGCUGAAGUCAGCACAUGAGAUGGACCCAUCCAUGCUUUGGAGGGGACAGAAACACAUACAAGUGGUUACACAUCUCUGUGCAGUGACUUCGGAACAGCUCUACCACUGCACUACUUAUGCUCUCCCCAUUGGAGCCAUUCUGGAUGCUUCCCUCCUCUAUCUAUCCUGUUUCCUCUGCAUGAACACCAUGAAGAGUAGAGGCUGCGUCUGGUUAAAGAUGGAAAGAAGAUCACAUGCAUACACUAUCCUGCCUUCCAGAUGCCUCAGUAUAAUAAUUUCAGGGAAUAAAGGAGAGAAAAGCAAACCCCACAAGAAUAAAGAGAAAGUAUUAAGACAAAUGAUGUUAGAAUGAUAGCCAUGUUCCUGCAGUUGACUGUUGGAGGUGCACUCUCCGGAGUGAGUAAACCAAAUGGGAUCUGGCCUGGGAGACACCAUUUGACAACGAGGACUUCAUGUGAAACAGACGCUGAUGACGAGUUUACAUUGUGAAUGUUUAGACUCCCAGCUUUCCACCUCACCAGCUCCCAGGAUGCUGGCAGCAAGUUUGUAUUAACUCAAUCCUGCUGCAUAACAGGAUAAAAACAAAACAAGACAAAGCAAACAAUGUUAGCAUUUCAAUUAAAAUAUAGAUUGAGAUCAAUAAAGUUUUUCUGUAAGCGGUCAGGUAGUAAAUAUGAUGGAGUUUGUGAGUCAUGUAUCAUCUGUUGCAUAUUCUUCUUUGGCGGUUGCUGACUUUUACAAUCCUUUACAAACUUGAAAAGCUGUUCUUAGCUAACUGGCUGUAAAAAAAAUAGGCUGCAGGCCAGAUGUGGCCCAGAUUUGAACUGUAGUAUGCCAACUCUUGGUAUAGAGGAUCACAGGUGCCAUUUAUCCUGCAUCUAUAACAAAUAAUGCAAAAAUAUGAACAAGGUGUAUAUUCUACCUGUGAAGUACAGGUAAAAUAAACUCCAGACAUCUAACUGUGAACACACAGAAUAUGAAGGAACUAAGUCCCACAGGAAGCUCACUUCUUGGGUGAGCAAUGAUCAAAAGCUGUUUCUUCCCACAGGCCCUUGUCCAUAACUGGGCACCUGCUGGUAGAGCAUCGUGUCUGGGCAGAGGGUAUCUGCUAGAGUAAAGGGAAAUCUAGAGACAAUUUAGCAGCCACAUAGACUGGCAAGACCUAUUUGAAUCUAGUGAAGUCCUAAAAUCAAAACUGAUCCUCUUUACCCAUUGGAUCACAACCACAAGAUUUUUCUCAGUGGGAGUGAAGGGUAUGGUUUGUGUUUGGCUAGAAAGGCAUAGAGAAACCUCUAGUACAUAAUAUAAAACCAUGGGGAAAGAGAAAAAAAGCAGGGAAGAGAAGUCACCCCGCAUUGACUAAGAUAUUGCAAUCAGCUAGCAGGACUUUGAAAUAACUAGUAUAAGUGUAUUAAAGGAGAGAGAAAAGUAUGUACACAAUGAAGGAAAAGAUGGAUGGAAAAUUUCAAUAGAGAAAAGGAACUUUUUAAAAAAGCAUUAAAUGGAAACUCUAGAAUCGAAAAAAAAUCCUUAAGAGCUGAUAAACUUAACAACAAACUAGACACUGCAUUAGAAGAGAUCAGUGAACUGAAACACAGAUGAGGAGAAAUAAUCUAAACUGAAGAGCAGGGAGAAAAAUGUGUUAACAACAACGACAAAGAAAACCAAAACCAAAAAAAACAGAACCAAUGUGAGAGACAUAGGAUAAUAAUAAACAGUGUGAUAGAUACGUAAUUGAAGAUACAAAGGAACAAGAAAGAAGAGAAAGCAAGAGCUAUUUUAUUUUAUUUUAUUUUAUUUUUUUGAGGGGCAACUAUUUUUAUUUCCAAUACACAGAUAUGAAAAAUGAGUCUCAGAGAAGCUACAUAACAUGCCUUGGUUCACAAAGCUCAUAAGUAGCAAGUGGCCUAAUGAAUCUGAAUCCAUCCCCAGCAAUUCCACUCCUAGAUAUGUAUAAACCAGAAAUGUGUACAUGAGCUCACCAAAAGAUUAGGACAAGCUGUUCACAACAGCUCUAUUUAUAAUAGCCGAUCCAGAAACUUUCCCCAUGUCCUUUAGGAGAAUGGGUAAAUUCUGCAAAAAUCAUAUCAUGGAAUGAAAGCAAGAGCUAUGUUAAAGUUGACUUUGGUAUACCAUAUGAUUUCACUCAUAUGUGGAAUCUAAAACAAAACAAAGCAAAACAAAUGAAUAAACAAACAAAAAGCAGAAUCAGACCUAUAACAGAGAACAAAACUCAUGGUUGCCAGAGGGGAUGGGUGGGGGGAUGGGCAAAAUGGGUCAAAGGGAGUGGGAGAUACAGGCUUCCAGUUAUGAAAUGAAUAUGUCAUGGGAAUAAAAGGCAGAGCAUAUGGACUCUAGUCAGAGAUGUUGUAAGAGUGCUGUACAGUGACAGAUGGUAGCUACACUUGAGGUGAGCACAGCAUAAGGCAUGGAAUUGUCGAAUCACUAUGUUGUACACCUGAAACUAAUGUAAUAUUGUGUGUCCACCAUAUUCAAAUAAAAAAAAAGAAAACUAAAAUAAACAUAAUAAAUAAAAUAAAAUAAACUGACUUUGGUAAAGAAUUUUCCAAAAUGAAUCAAAUUCUUCAAAUCAAAUAUCCAAGAAGCUUGCUGAACUCCAAGAACACAAAACAAGAUAAAAGCACCUAGAUACAUCACUGUAAAAUGGCUGAAAAUAAGCCUUAAAAGAAAGAAGAGUACGAACACCUAGCUGGUUCAGUUGGUUGAGUGUGCGUCUCUUGAUCUCGGGGUUGUGAGUUCAAGCCCCACGCUGGGUAUAGAGAUGACUUAAAAAAAAAAAUCUUUAAAAAAACGAAGAAAAGAAAAAAAAAGAAAGAACAGUAAAACAAGCACAGUGCAUUCAAGGAAAUAACCAUAAUAUUGACCUGUAGCUCCUCAAAAACAAAACAAAAUAAAACAAAAAAAAUCACCCUCAAAAUGAUGGUGAAAUGAGGACUUUUUCAGAAAAUGGAAACUAAGAGAGACAGAAGUAUCCCAAACAUGAUUCUGCUUUUCUUUUGGAAUAGCUCAUGCUUCCUUAAAGUUUCUAAAUUGAUGGCAGUAAAAAUAUUUGUUUGGGGUUGCCUGGCUGGCUCAGUCCAUAGAGCAUGAGACUCAUGAUCACAGGGUUGUAAGUUCCAGACCCAAGUUGGGUGUAGAGAUUACUUGAAAAUAAAAUCUGAGAAAAAAUUGUUCUGAAAGGUGGUCUUAAAUGAAGAAUAAACUUGCUAGGAGGGGUAAAUCUAACACAAUGUAAUAAAAUGUGAAAAUCUGAAAAAAAUGGAGUGGUAGCAAAGAUUCAGAAGUAGCCACUUUUACAAGGCCGAAUGUUUAUUCUUGUCAAAAACUGCAUAUUUAAUCCAUUAUGCUAAAUGAGGUUUAUAAUAAAGUAUUUCAUUUGGUUGUGACUCCCACUGUGUAACUCUCUUCUUCCAAUUUACAUACUGAAUGCAAAGAACCAAAGAACUAUUUUGACUACUUUGUAUUCUAACUGACCCCAUUCAUCUAAAACACCUGGGUUAUUUGGGAGAACUUGUGUUCCCUGGGUAGAAUUAACCAGGUAAUUGCUUCUUGAUCACAACACAAGACAAGUUUAAAUCUGGCCUCGGUCUUUACACGUCCUUUCCUAAUGGUUUCUUUCCAAACUAUCACUCACUACAUGGACUGUUUUAAGACACCUAAAUGUUUUCCAUUCCUUAACAUCUCUACUCACCACAUCCAGGAGAAGCCAUGUAAUGGCUGCCCAGUGAGAGACCUGAAAGAGGGGAGGAUAUGAGAUUUUUGAGUACUUUUGAGCUCUAGAGGCAGCUCAAGAGACCAGUUACUGGAGUCAUUUCUUCUUUUACUGUGAUGCGUUUUCUGGUGGAAGAGACACUGGUUGGGUCUCCUCCAGCAGAAGGCAAACAUCUGGAGUUGAUCUUUCACAGUUUAGGAAAGAAUUGUUGUCAGCAAUUUGUGACCACUUGUAAAAGUUUUAUGGAAGAUGAGCAUUACCUUGAAAGCCUGACUAAAGCUCCUCAUACCAACCUGAAAAUGGGCUGUUCCUCCCUAAUGAGAACUCAUUGACUGUUAGAGGCACUGGCCUGGCUUUUGAUGCAGUUAAUAUGAAUUCUUAUGAAGAACCAAAGGCUGGAGGUCAUUCCCUGCUUACAGUACAUGAAAGAGUGGCUGGUUUUGCAGGAGAUGACCCAGGAGCUAUGUACCUCCACAUAUUGCUGUUCGUGUUCUUGUCAAACCUCACCUUUGAUGUGAUGACACAGAUAUCAUCUACCAAAGAUCUACCAGAGAUCUUCUCCUAUUCCCCAGGAGAGAAGAACUGCACUCUGUUGGGUAUCCUCAGCUACAAGCUUGUCUAAUCUUCACACACACCAUCUUGACCCUGCGGGACAAGGACUAUCAACAGUGCUGGGCACUGGCAAAGCCAGCAUCCCCUCUCAAGCUGAUAAAGAGGAGACACAUGAAUUAGCCUUUUUAACCAACCUCAUGGUGUCCAGCCAGAGCUUAUCUUCAGUUUUAAGGAAGGAAAAGCUGAAGUUGGCUAAAAGCUUUUCUUUAUUCUCUUUUCCCUUGAUAGCCUAUAAGUCACCAGGGGAGCUGAAUAUUGCAAAAUCCUGUCAUGGAACAGCAGGCUGAUAAACUGAAAAAUAAAAACAGAUGUGGAGCAGGGAAGGCUUCUGGACAUUUGUUUCUUGCUUUGGACUGGUUCAAGUACUGAGACUCUUUAACCCUACUCCUACUCAGAAAAAUCUAGUAUUUCCUCUGCCUCGACUAUCACAAUCCUUGGAUAAUUCACAUCUUUGGAUAAUCACCUCCCCCACAUUGAAGUCAAAAUAAAGU